AUACGGAGGGUGCAAGCGUUGUCCGGAUUUAUUGGGUUUAAAGGGUGCGUAGGCGGUGCGUUAAGUCAGUGGUGAAAUCUUCCGGCUCAACCGGGAAACUGCCAUUGAUACUGGCGCACUUGAGUACGGACGAGGUGGGCGGAAUUUAUGGUGUAGCGGUGAAAUGCAUAGAUACCAUAAAGAACACCGAUAGCGAAGGCAGCUUACCAGACCGUAACUGACGCUCAGGCACGAAAGCGUGGGGAGCAAACAGGAUUAGAUACCCUAGUAGUCC
rnacentral:rRNA from 1 species